AGUUAAGCUCGAGCAGAGCGGCAGCACCAAUCAUUCCAUUUCUGUACAAAUAUAAUCGUGUUAUAAAGUCAAAUAAAAAUAUAAAUACUAAUAAAGUGGAAAUAUAAGAAAUCUACAUUUAAUCAGUUAAAGUUCAAUAUGAAAUACUUAAUAAACGAAAAAUUCAAUUUUGUUCAAAAAUAUUUUUUACUUAAUUGGUUAUAAAAUUUCGGCAAUUUAAGGAAUACAUCCUAUGAAAAAAUAAAACAUGGCCGCUGUCCACUUUAUAAAAGUCGAAAUUUUCAUAUUAAACGCUAGAUAGUGCUUUUAUAAAGUUUAAUGCAGGCAUAUGAAACUGUUAAUAAAUUUUUUGCUUUAAAUAGAAUAAUAUUUCAGGUCUAUAAAGGCAUAAAUUACAAGAUAAUUCUUUGAAAAAACUUACCGGCGGCUUCCACACGGAAGCAGGGGGCGCUACAGAGAACAUUUUUGUCACAUUUAAUAUCGGUCUUUUUUUUUUUACCUUAAACAGUGCCUAUUCGAAUACACAUAUUGUAGCAGACCUUCCUGGUUAAUAAAAAAGUUUUAAAGGUGUUUUUUCAUAUGGGAUAGGAAGGCGUGAAAACGAAGAAUAUCUUGGAUAUUACUAAUAAUCAAAUAAAAUACUCGAAUUGGAUGUAGGAAAAUAAGAUAUACCGAACAAAGUCAUCUAACAGGGGAGGACAACAAUACGAAGCCAAAUAUUUCAAGGCUUAAUCAUUGAUCAGGUUCUUCCAGACCUUUAAUCAUCAACUACAUACCGAUUUCGUGACAUGGGUAAUUGUUGUAACCCAACUCCCAGGUCUUUAGGGAAUGGACAUGUUCAAGCUAGUGCUCCUGUUAAAACAAGUGAUGUUACCUUACUACCUAUGGAUACUCGUCCGCAGAUUAGAGCACAGGCCGUUAUUAAAAGAGUUAGAGCAAUGUAUGAUUAUAAAGGGCGAACCCCAGACGACUUAAGCUUUGUUAAAGGCGAAAUUUUAGAUGUAUUAGAUAUGGACAGCGAUAAUGCUGAUUGGUGGAGGGCCAAAAGAAUUAACUCAAAUUCUAUUGGUUUCAUACCUUCGAAUUACGUUACCGAUGAUGAUGAAAAUAAGAUUGAAAGUCAAGAAUGGUAUUUCGGUAUAGAGAGAAGAGAUGCUGAACGUAAACUGUUAUGGGUUGGAAACGAAGUUGGAACGUUUCUGAUUAGAAAAUCUGCCGAUAAUAAAGCUUAUGCACUUACUGUGAAAGAUUUGAAUAAGGAGACAAAUGAACAUUGUAUAAAGCACUAUAAAAUAAGAAAAAUGGACGAAGGAGGUGUAUUUAUUGCUGCCAGAAGACCAUUCAAAAGUAUGAUGGACUUAGUUAGACAUUAUAUGGCAUCAGCCGAUGGUUUGUGUUGUAGGUUAGAAAAACCUUGUCCAAAGGUGCCAGCCACUGUUCCAUUUAAACAAUUAGAGGUCAGAAGAUCCCAGGUGAAAAGGAUACGAAGACUUGGACAUGGUAAUUUUGGUGAAGUUUCGGCAGGAAAAUUUCAAAAUUCAGUAGAUGUAGCAAUUAAAUCUUUAAAACCAGGAACGAUGCCUCCUGGAGCGUUCCUAGCAGAAGCCAAGAGAAUGCAUAAAUUUAGGCAUCCUAAGCUGGUUCAAUUAAUGGGUGUAUGUACAGAUUGCGAGCCAAUGUUAAUAAUUACAGAAUUAAUGGUUAACGGAUCUUUAUUAGACUAUCUAAGAGAAAAGAAGAGCUUAGAAAGAUUUCCCUUCGCCGAUCUUAUUGAUAUAUGUGCACAGGUUGCUGAAGGAAUGAAAUAUCUGGAGAAGGAAAAUUUCAUUCAUCGAGAUUUACGAGCGGCCAACAUUCUAGUAGGAGAAAAUAAUGAAGUUAAAGUUGCUGAUUUCGGUUUAGCUAAAGAAAUUAAGGUGGACGAUACAAACGACGGAGCAGACGAACCUAUGAAAUUCCCUAUUAAAUGGACAGCGCCAGAAGCAGCUUUUAAGAGAGAAUUUUCUACGAAAUCUGAUGUUUGGUCUUUCGGAGUUUUACUAUACGAAAUAAUGACAUUUGGAAGAGUCCCUUAUCCAUCGCUAUCGGGACAAGAGGUUUUGAAUAAAGUUUCAGGAAGUUAUAGAAUGGAGAAGCCUUCAAGUUCUUCGGGACUUUUUCAUUGUCCUGAUUCGGUAUACGGUCUAAUGUUAAAUUGCUGGGAUCGUGACCCAGAAAGAAGGCCAACAUUUGAACAUAUAUAUCAUUUCUUUGAUGAGUUUGAAAUUGCCAACGAACCAAGCUAUAAAGAUGUAUUUUCAUAAAAAAUUAUAAUCUUUUUUAUUAUUCUUUUCUUUCUCUAUGCAUAUUUUUCUUUUUUUUUUUUUAUUUGUACGACUUUUCGUGCUUUGACUACUAUUUUUUUUAUCACAUAAUUGCUUUUCUUUAAGCUGUGAUGUUCUAGGAAAAGAGAGAGAGCGAGAGAGAGAGAGAGAGAAACAAACAAACAUAUUUUAUCCUAAAACUUACUUUCCCAUCCCAGAGUAAAAACAAAAUUGUGAUAGAGUGCUUCGUUACGAAUCUAUUAACUUUUUAUUAUGUAAUAGAAGAAAAAAAAUUAUUGUUAACACGUCUAAAAAAACAGUUCGUUACCUAACGAAAACCACAAAAAAAAAAGAAAACAUUCGCCUGAUUUAUGAUCGUUAAAGACUUUGAAAAUUAAAAAAUUAUAGUUAUAUUUUUUUUGGUCUACCUACUAACACGGAAUAUUAAUAUUUAUAUAUAAUUAUUAUAUUAUAUAUAAUUACUAAAAUACUUUUUUCAAAAGAUCUUAGCAAGCAGAGAAAAGAUACUACUAAAAAAUAUUCGUAUAUUCUAUAAAAUCUUACUUCUCGUUACAUUUUGAUAAAUACGUAACGUAUUAUUCUUUGUUAACUUUCCGUUAAAAAGAAACAAAUAAAAAUGGAAAAUAAAGAUAUUUGUUUUUUUUUAUUCUGCAUUCUGC
rnacentral:misc_RNA from 1 species